rnacentral:lncRNA from 1 species
UCUCCGUCGAGUUUGAGGGCAAAAUUGUUCAUUCCGUAACCUUCUCUCUCCCCUUCCUCCUCCUGAGUUUCAGGCAGCCGCCACCUAACCCCAACCAUGAAGCCACCACUCCGACCCACACAUCCGCCCUGACCCACACAACCACCACCCCAGAAGCCAUCUCCAACCAGCAACCAACAAAUUCUGGGGCAAAUUGAAAACUGGGUACAAAUUCAGCCAUUCUCUAUACUGAUGAGAGUUGCCUGUAUGUAUGGCUGAAUUGAUACGAAACAUCUGGAUGUCGUUUUGUCAAAGGAAGCAGGUAAAGCAUCUACCAGUUGACAGUUGUGGGUCCAUACUCCAUAGAUAAUCAAAAUUGUUUCUCAAUUUCUCAAUUUCCCAAUUUCUCAAUUGCCACUUCUGAAACCUAUCUCCACCUCAACAAUUCUCAAGUCUCAAGAACAAGAAGCCAAUCCAAUGGCACUUAAUGGAAAUCACAGUGAACUCCCACAAGUUCUGGUACUUCUCCCACCUGGGUGCUUCACUCUCUUGGAGUCCAACUACUCCCACAAGUUCAAGUUCCUCAAAGCUUGGGACUCUCCUCUCCCUCAAGACCAGUUCUUGGCCACACAUGCAGGCUCUGUUCAGGCCUUGCUGUCCUCUGUCAAAGGACCAACCAUCACUGCCAAUAUCCUACAAAUGCUGCCCUCCUUGAAGGUCAUUGUCACCACCGGCGCUGGCAUUGACCAUCUUGACUUAGCCGAGUGUCGAAGCCGCGGUGUUGCCAUUGCCAGUACCCCUAAAAUCUUCACUGAGGAUGUUGCUGAUAUGGCUGUGGGGCUGCUUCUUGAUGUCAUGAGAAAGAUUUCGGCUGGGGAUCGGUAUGUCAGAGACGGGCUUUGGGCUACCAGAGGAGACUAUGCUCUCGGUUCUAAGGUCAGCAGCAUUCGGUUCUAGCUCACAUGCCUUAAUCUUUUCUGGGUUUUGCUUGUUUCCUGUGGCUAUGGUUGAAAUAAAUUGUUCCUAAUUAUGCUUUCCCUAUCAAUGUUCAGAUGAAAAUAAUCACAAAUGUAGUGUUUGAUUAAAUAUCUUUUAACAAAAAUGAUUUUUGGGAGCUAUUCUGGUGUUAAAUUAAUUUUAACAAAGUCAGUUCUUUACCACUUAAUGAUUAUGUUAUGCGUUGAAAUUUGUCAACAGAUAAUUGAAAUUCUCUUUUGUUUAAAGUAAAUUAAAGUGGUUUCUAUGAUUGGAAAUGCCAGAUAGGAGGCAACCGAGUUGGGAUUGUUGGCUUGGGAAACAUUGGCGUAGAAGUUGCCAAAAGACUUGAGGCCUUUGGCUGCAACAUAUUGUACAACUCAAGGACAGAAAAGCCAUUCGUUUCAUACCCUUUCUAUUCUGAUAUCUGUGAACUAGCUGCUAACAGUGACGCCCUUGUCAUUUGUUGUGCAUUGACUGCUGAAACCCACCACCUGAUCAACAAGAAAGUCUCGUUAAAGCUGGGAAGAGAUGGCGUGAUUGUAAACGUAGGACGCGGAGCUAUCAUCGAUGAGAAGGAAAUGGUGCGGUGUUUGGUGAAAGGAGAGAUUGGAGGUGCUGGUUUGGAUGUGUUUGAGGAUGAGCCUGAAGUUCCUGAAGAGCUCUUUGCAUUGGACAAUGUUGUACUGUCACCACAUUAUGCUACCUACACACCAGAAUGUUUCAUGGCUUUGUGUGAACUAGUAGCAGGGAAUUUCGAAGCUUUCUUCUCAAAUAAACCGUUGCUUUCACCGGCUGUGGAUAAUUAAAUAGAUUUCUAUUUGCAGGUUAGAGUCUCCAUGACUUUUUGCAUCAUCUUGCAUGCCAUUUUGGUUUGUUUCCCUGGGAAUGGUUCAUACAGAAACCACUUGCAAUGGAGCUUGAGCCAUUUCUGUUCUAAUGUUUCUUCUAGUAAGGUUCGUGCACUUUUAUGAAUCGAUGCAGGGGACCAAAUGUUGAUGUGAUGAAUGGGGCUAUUAGAGAGUACAAAGAUGAAGAACUGAGGUGUUAUCGUUACUGGUAUAUUUGAGAGUUGUAUGAUCUGCAUGCAGCAGACGGUGUAGAUUUGCUUGCCAAAUAAAAUGAUUGUUAACUCAAGAGGAUGCUUGUUUGUAUAAAAUGCUUUUUGGUCCAGCUUCCUUGAGCAGUUGGAAUAUAAGUUCUAUGCUCCCGUUACACGUCUCCGCUUUCUUCCUAUCUAUUUCCUCAUGUGAGUCACAUGAGGAGAGAGAUGGGAAGAGACAAAGGGGAGAUGUGAGGUGCAAAAUUAUUUGUAGGAUUUUCUUAGACACUUUUGUUGUGAAAUACAAUCAGUUUGACAAUCACAAUUAUUUUGCUGACACUGGAAAUGAAUAUUUUGUGUCAUUUCAAUUUUUGCUCACUCAGAAAUUAAAAUUAAGUCAUAUAUAAAGAUGAGUUUAAAAGAUGUAUUAUGUCUAUAUUUGACACGGUUCAUUAGUUUUCUAAAUCUACAUUACGAUAUUAUUUUCUAUAUUGAGUGAAAAUAUUGAAGGAAAUUAAAUUGAUGAAUUUUGAGGAAGUUUUGCUUUCUUCCAUUCCUGGUUUUGAAUAUUUUGUGGCCGUAUAAUUUUGAUGAUUUCUUUAUAGCAACUGCCGCAUUUCUCUUCUUACGAGGGGAGUUCGUGCUGUGACUUUUCUUAUAGUCAUUUUGAGGGGACUGACAAUUCGCUGCCAUUGGGGAGGACUAGAAGGAAGCUUCAGAGAGGUAAAUGAAGAAAUUAACGUGCUCUUUACUUACUGGCCUACAAAAUAAAACACACAAACACAAAUAUUUAUCAAUUUUGGUUGAUGCAAAAGUUGUAAAAAUUCUAAAAAAUUAUUUGAGAUCAUUUAAAAAUACGGGUUACAUAAGCGUAUCCGGACAGUAGGGAUGAGUAGUGGUCAUGUUGGCCCAACAAAAGUGAUGGUCAUGCGCGAACUACCAAUAUGUACCCAUGCCUCAUUUAGGUUCCAGCGAAGAUAAGGUGAGAAGAACGAAAUGCGUCUCGGGGUUUUAGAGAAGAGAAGGUGAGAAGAAUGUUGACCUCAAUCCCAUUCCAAAUAAUCUUAAAAACCCAUUGGUUGAAACUGAUAGGUUGGAUAUGAUUUUAGAAGACAGUUGAAAGUGUUCAAACAAAUGUCACUCCUUAAUCGAAACAUUGUUUUGUGGUUUGUGUUAGAUAUUGUUUUUUCUUGUUGGGGUAACAACGAUCAGUUAUACAAUUAUUUAAUCCUAAUAGUUAACUAAGCACAACAAUAGUAAAAUAAAUAAAUAAAACGAAAUUUAAUAAAACAACAAAGAAGCCAUGACUGUUUCUGCAACGUAAAGAGCUUCUAUUGCACCUUCACCUUUUAUUUCGUUUUUGUAGAAAUGUACUUAUACCUCAGUUUCAAUUUGUCAUAAUACAGAAAAAUUUCAGAGAAAUGACAUCAUAAUUUUUCAAAAUCUAUGAUUUGUCAUCCGACUUUAAUACCAUCAAAUUUUCCAUAUAUUUUUAAGGGUAUUUUAGUCUUUCCAUUUUCAAGGAUAUUUUAAAAAUGGAAAAAUCAUUAUAAUAAAAAUCAUAUAUCUUUUAAAUAAUUAAAAUUGAAGCAAAAAGUCUCAUCUUAUCCCUUGUGUGCCACCGGCGGCUCCAACCAACCGUGCCCAUCUUGAAAUCCAUUCCCCCUUCCCUCUUCAUAGCCCCUUCCUCCAUUGCCCCUUCUCUCUCUACCAUGGAACAACCACAUCUACACACAAAUUCCCUUAUCCCACCCAAACCGAAUCUACAUUCUUCUUCUUCUUUUUUAAAAUUGUAGACAUGCUCAAUGAACACCAUUAAAAAAGAAGAAGAAAGUGGUUGGGGGCGGGGGAGAGAGAGAAAGGGGGGAGAGGGUGGUCCUGUGCGAUGUGUUUUUGGUGCGGGUGUUGUUGGGGUUUUUCUUGAAAAUGAAAAGACUAAAAUACCCUUAAAAAUGGAUGAAAAGUUGGAUGGUGUUAAAGUCAGAUGAUAAAUGAUGAAUUUUGAAAAAUUAAGAUGACAUUCAUCUUAAACUUUUCUUUAAAGUGAUAAAUUGAAACUGAGGUAAGUUUAAACGAUAUUUCUACAAAUAUCCCUUUUCUUUUUCUAAACUUUUGCUCAAAACUUAGCGAAAAAGAAAAUCCACCACCCAUACAAUGACACUUAACCGACAAAAUCCAAAGAAAUAUCAAAAGACUACAGAAAACAUGAGGCUCAUCUACCAACCCGCGCAUCGGCAACAGUGGGCAUUCAUAAUUCAUUGAAUAUAUCAUACCAUCUUCAGCUGCUAUUUGCAGCACUUCACUAAUUCCUUCCCUAUUUUUCACGUGGUACAAAAAAUGAGCAUGAUUUAGUGAAAUAUUCAUCUAGGCCUUCAAAUGUUUUCCGCAUUCUCUGUUUGGGUAAGGUAAUCUAUAAUUUCUCGUAAGGAAAAAUGCUAAAGUGAUUACAUUGCUUGAUAAUUAAUAAUGAUGUUUACUUGUGCAUAAAUUAUUAUGAUAAAUUAUUCAGUGACACGUUUAUCCAGAUAGUUAAUGUGGUUUUUUUUUUUUUUAAAAAAAAAGGGAGAUUCACUAUUAUACCCAAUAUGAGGGCUCAAAUUAUAAAAAUACCCUAUUUGAAAUGGACUUUAGAAACACACCCAAAGCCCAUUUACAACAUAACAAAAAAGCUUUUAACUUCUUAUAAAUUACAAAACUGCCAUCAAUUUCUUAAAAUAAACCUAACUCCAAAAUCUCAUAAAAAUACCCAAAACACUUAAUAGAGCAUCAAAGUAAUUUAAUAAUUAAUAUUAAAUUCAAUAAGGUCUGCUGUCAUUUGUUGGGUUUGUUUAUAGAAAUUCAAUUGUGUAGAAUUUAUUUAUAAUAUUAGUGCUAAAAAUGGAUAUAUCACUAAAUAUCUCAACAAAAAAAAAGUGUUAUUUAAUUUAUGCCUUAAAAAAAUGUUCAAUUCAAUUCAAUCAUACACCAUUCUACUGUUUCUCUGCUGCAAAUUGCAAUGAGGCCACUAUUUUUGUGGGGUCCCUCGGCCAUAUGAUGCCCUCUAGAUCAUGAAAACAUUACAUAAUGGUCAUUUACAUUUGAAAUUCCAUCUAAAACAUAUGCUCAUGCUAUACUAUAAUGGUCCAAUUCCAAUCCCAAGACCUCCCACAACUCCUGAUUAUUCAACCUCCAUUAUGCUUGGCAAUUGCUGAAUCUCAGUUGUCUCAAAAAUUCCAUCUCCUCAAAGCAUGGGAGUCAGAACUCCCUCUAGACCAGUUCUUGACCACCUAUGCAUGCUCAGUCCAAGCCAUGCUUUGCUACCCUUUCACUCAGGUCAAUGCAGACCUCCUCCGGCUACUUCCGGCACUCAAACUUGUUGUCAGCCCCACUGCUGGGGUCAACAACAUCGAUGUGGUCGAGUGCCGGCGGCGUGGAAUAUCAGUGACCACUUCUGGGAGUGCAUUCUCAGAAGAUGUUGCUGAUACUGCCGUAGGUUUGCUCAUUGAUGUGCAUAGAAGAAUCUCAGCAGCAGAUCGGUAUGUGAAAGGGCUUUGGACUAGCAAAGGAGAUUAUCCUCUUGGUUCCAAGGUAAUGCUAGCUAGAGAGAUCUCAUUUACUAAGUUUCUAAACCACAUAUGUACAUUAGUUGAUGGCAGUUGAUUUGUUAAUUAACAAUUAACGAUAAUAAUUGAUGUAAUAAGUACGCAUCCAUAACUCACAAAAACUGAUUAGUUCUUUAGCAUUGGGAAUUGAAGAUUUUCUUUAUUUCUUGUUGUAGUACACAAACACCCUAGUUGAUCCUCUGAUAUUUAAUGAUUGAUUGACUCUCUAUAUAUUUUAUUAUUAUUUAUGUAAUAUUAAUUGUCAACUGGUAAUUAAUUUCAGUUAGGAGGCAAGCGAGUUGGGAUUGUUGGAUUAGGACGCAUUGGCUCUGAAAUUGCAAAAAGACUGGAGGCCUUUGGGUGCAUUGUCUCAUACAACUCAAGGAGCAAAAAUCCAUCUUUAACAUACCCCUUCUAUUCCAGUGUUCAUGAACUUGCAGCCAAUACUGAUGCCCUCAUCAUCUGUUGUGCAUUGACCGACCAAACCCGCCACAUGAUCAACAAGGAAGUCUUAUCUGCACUGGGAAGAGAGGGAGUGAUUGUCAACGUUGGACGGGGGGCUAUUAUUGAUGAGAAGGAAUUGGUGAGGUUUCUGGUGCAUGGAGAGAUUGGAGGCGCUGGUUUGGAUGUGUUUGAGAAUGAGCCUCAUGUUCCAGAAGAACUCUUUGCUUUGGACAACGUUGUUCUGUCUCCACAUAACGCUGCUUUUACUCCCGAAUCUGUAGAGAGUUCGAAUCGAAUAGUUAUUGCCAAUUUGGAAGCUUUCUUCUCAAAUGAGCCUUUGGUUACUCCAUUCAUGGAUGACUAAAUUUGAUUUUAUGUGUUGUUUCCUUUAUUUAUUUUCAGACAUUUUGUUUUUGGCUGAACUCUGUUCUUGUGGAAGUAAUUCCUUGGCUUGCAAGAAGCUAUGAAUUACAAUGACUCUGAUUAUCUCAUUUGACUGGCAGUUUUCAUUGCUCUUAUUUCCAACAUUUUUCUUAAGCUUGUAAUAUCUCUUUGUCAAAUUCCUUUUGAUCAAACCUUAAUUACAAAAGUCAGCCAAGAUAACACAUGAAAUGAAUACCACAGAAAAAAGAUAAUUGAAAUCCUCUUUUGUUUAAAGUAAAUUAAAGUGGUUUUUCUGAUUGGAAAUGCCAGAUAGGAGGCAAACGAGUUGGGAUUGUUGGCUUGGGAAACAUUGGCUUAGAAGUUGCCAAAAGACUUGAGGCCUUUGGCUGCAACAUAUUGUACAACUCAAGGACAGAAAAGCCAUUCGUUUCAUACCCUUUCUAUUCUGAUAUCUGUGAACUAGCUGCUAACAGUGACGCCCUUGUCAUUUGUUGUGCAUUGACUGCUGAAACCCACCACCUGAUCAACAAGAAAGUCUCGUUAAAGCUGGGAAGAGAUGGCGUGAUUGUAAACGUAGGACGCGGAGCUAUCAUCGAUGAGAAGGAAAUGGUGCGGUGUUUGGUGAAAAGAGAGAUUGGAGGUGCUGGUUUGGAUGUGUUUGAGGAUGAGCCUGAAGUUCCUGAAGAGCUCUUUGCAUUGGACAAUGUUGUACUGUCACCACAUUAUGCUACCUACACACCAGAAUGUUUCAUGGCUUUGUGUGAACUAGUAGCAGGGAAUUUCGAAGCAUUCUUCUCAAAUAAACCGUUGCUUUCACCGGCUGUGGAUAAUUAAAUCGAUUUCUAUUUGCAGGUUAGUGUCUCCAUGACUUUUUGCAUCAUCUUGCAUGCCAUUUUGGUUUGUUUCCCUUGGGAAUCGUUCAUACAGAAACCACUUGCAAUGGAGCUUCAGCCAUUUCUGUUCUAAUGUUUCUUCUAGUAAGGUUCGUGCACUUUUAUAAAUCGAUGCAGGGGGCCAAAUGCUGAUGCGAUGAAUGGGGCUAUUAGAGAGUACAAAGAUGAAGAACUGAGGUGUUAUCGUUACUGGUAUAUAUUUGCGAGUUGUAUGAUUUGCAUGCAGCGGACGGUGUAGAUUUGCUUGCCAAAUAAAAUGAUUGUUAAGAGGAUGCUUGUUACUAAAAUACGAAUAUGGUUUGAAUACUUUGGGUUGAGUUUUAUUCUUCUUCAUAAGGAGGUAUAUAUAGGAGUUUACAUGAGAGUUUUAUAAGGAAUUAGAUACAGUAAAGAAUUAGGAAAGUAUCUCCUAAUUGUACAAUGAUUUAUUACUUAUAUAAAAAUAGGAAACUAAAUCCCUUAAUUAAUCAAGGAAGUAAAUCUCCUUGAUUAAUUAGGAGACUCACGUCAACACUCCUCCUCAAGUUGGUGCAUAUAUGUCACCAAUGCCCAACUUGGUAAGUGAGUCAUGAAAUACUCUUCGACAAACAGCUCUGGUUAAAAGAUAUCUACCAGUUAAUCUUCUGAUCUUACGAAUGGUAGGCGGAUGAUCUUUUUCUCAAUAUCGAUAGCUGACUUGUUGUCACAAUGCAACUCCAUUGGCUUUUCUGGCUUGAAGCCCAAUUCUGUCAAGAGUCUUCUGAUCCACAAUAAUUUACAAACUCAGUGAGCCAUUCCUCGAUACUCUGCUUCAGCACUAGAUCGAGAAACCGCAUUUUGCUUUUUACUCCGCCAAGUGACUAGGUUACCUUCCACGAAUGUAAAGUAACAUGAAGUAGCGCGUCUAUCUGUAAUGAAGCUAGCCUAAUCAGCAUCUGUGUAUCCAACAACUUCAAGAUCUCCAUUUUUUGAGAACAUUAAUCUUUUCCUAGGGGUUGACUUUAAGUAUCUUAAGAUCCAAUCAACUGCAUUCCUAUGAGAAACACUGGGCGAAUGCAUAAACUGACUAACCACACUCACCGCAUAUGCAAUAUCUGGUCUUGUGUGUGCCAGAUAUAUUAACCUCCAACAAGGCGUUGGUACUGUUCCUUAUUGGUUGGUUCUUGGUCCAUAUCUUCACAUAACUUGUGAUUCAUCUCAAUGGGUGUGUCAGCAGGCUUACAUCCAAGCAUUCAUGUUUUAGUGAAUAGAUCCAUUACAUACUUCCUUUGAGACAGAAAUAUAUUAGUUUUUGAUCUUGCUACUUCGAUUCCGAGAAAGUGCUUCAAAUCACCUAAAUCCUUCAUCUCAAAUUCCUGAGACAAAUACUUUUGCAACUUCAGUUGCUCUUCUGCUUCAUUUCCAGUUACGAUUAUGUCAUCUACAUAAAAAAUCAAUGCAGUAAGUUUUCCUUCAUCAAGCUUCAAGAACAGGGUGUGAUCUGAAUUACUCUGUGUAUAUCCAAAAUUCUUCAUAGAUUUAGUAAAUCUGCCAAACCAUGCCCUGGGAGAUUGCUUUAACCCAUAUAAUGACUUUCUGAGCUUGCAAACUUGAUUUUUCUUGUCAGGAGUUGAAUUACAUCUUGGGGGUAAGUCCAUAUAUACUUAUUCUUCCAAGUCUCCAUGUAAGAAUGCAUUUUUUACAUCAAACUGAUGUAGUGGCCAAUCAAGAUUUGCUGCUAGAGAAAAUAUGACUCUAAUAGUGUUAAUCUUGGCUACUGGGGCAAAGGUCUCCUCGUAAUCUAUCCAGUAUCUUUGUGUGUACCCCUUCGCCACCAAUCUAGCUUUAUAUCUUUCAACGGAUCCAUCUGCUUUGAGUUUCACAGUAUAAAUCCACAUGCAUCCUACUGUUUUAUUUCCAUGAGGUAAGGGCAUGAGUUCCCAUGUGACAUUCUUUUGGAGAGCUCGCAUUUCUUCAUUCAUAGCUUUUUUCUAUUUUGGGUCUCCUAGUGCUUCAGUUACACUGUUAGGGACAAAUAUGUCAGUCAAUUGCUUCACAUAGUAUACAUAUGACUCUGAUAAUCUGUUGAGAGAUAUAUAAUUAUUAAUGGGGUAUUUCCCUUUGGCUUUAAUAUCUGUUUCAUAUUGUACUCGAGGUUUGCCACGGUUCUUCCUUUCUGGAAGCUGAUAUGUAGGCUAUGUGUCUUCUAAAAUCAAAUCAUCAUGAGAUAUUUCAUUAGUGUUAUCAGUUUCAGGAAAAGAUGUUACUUAAAUGACAUCCUCAGCAGGUGAUUGGUGCAGUGAGCUAAAGACGGCAAAAUCUCAUAAAACGAUUCAAUUUCCUCAUCUUGAUUUUGACAACGUGAAGAUAACUGAUCGUUUUCCUCUGGCGACCGGUCACUGUUUGCUGGCGAUUGAUCGUUUUGAAGUAGAUUCUCUGUAGUUGAAGAACUAAGGAGAGUUGACCGGUUGCUUUCCACUGGCAAUCGAUCAUUUUGAUGCAGAGUGACGUCCUGGGGAAAAAAAAUUGAGAAUUGAAGCAGUGGUGGAUUCUCGAUUCUUCUCUUGGGCUGUUGAAAAAUAUAAGUCAUGUCCCCAAAACACAACAUCUAUGGAGGUGAAGACCUUCUGACUAGGAGGAUGAUAACACCGGUAUCCUUUCUGAUGAGGUGCAUAGCCAAUGAAAACACACUUUUCAGCUCGGGGAUCCAAUUUACUUCGUUAGUGAUCAUGUAAGUGGACAAAUACAAUACAGCCAAAAAUUAGGGAUUCCAGGUUUCGGGUGGGAGGUGUUUGGAUAUGGUGGUGAAGUGUUUGAAGUGGUGUUUAGAAAUUUAAGACAAUAGAAGGAAACCAAUUGAUAAGGUAUGCUACAGAAACGAUUGCUUCGCCCCAAAAUGAUCGUGGCAUAUUGGCACCAAAGAGAGAGGCACGAACGACUUCCAAUAAGUGUCUGUUCUUUCUUUAAGCCACCUCAUUCUGUUGGGGAGUGCAAUGGCAUGAGCGUUGAUGUAUGAUGCCAUGAUCUUGUAAGAACUGGUUAAGAUCAUGGUUGAGAAAUUCUCCGCCAUUGUUAGAACAAAGAACCUGAAUUCUGGCAUGAAAUUGAGUAUCCACCAUUUGAUAAAAUUGUUGAAACUUGGAACUAACUUCCCCUUUAGUUUUGAGAAGGGAAACCCAAGUUAUGCGUGUGCAAUCAUCUAUAAACGUGAUAAACCAUUGCGUCCCUGUCAGAGUGGCAAUUUUAGCAGGUCCCCAGACAUCAGAAUGAACAAGGAAAAACGGAACCAAACUCUUAUUUGAACUUAAUGGGAAAGGGACACGAUGGCUCUUAGCCAAUUCACACGUAUCACACUGGAAGCUGGAAACAUCAAGACUGGAAAAUAAUGAUCGAAAUAACUUCUUAAGAUAACCGAACGAGGCAUGCCCAAGACGUUUAUGCCAUAACCAAAUUUUGUCUCUCUCCCCCUCAGAACGAGUUCCACUGGUUCUGAAAGCUUGACCAACCUUGGCCUCAUUAUUUGGUGCCCAGUUUAAGUAGUAGAGUUUGCCCCAUCGAGUACCACAACCAAUCGUCUUUCCUGUGAGGAUGACUAGAAAAACACAAUGAUUCGGCCAAAAUAUUACGGUACAUCCCAAAAUAGUAGUAAGUUGUGCAACAGAUAACAAGUUAUGGUCCAAAGAUGGAACAAGUAAUACAGAAUCCAGAUGUAAGGAAGUAGAGAGAGAUAGAGAGCCCUUCCUAACCACAAGGGAAGGGGUACCAUUAGCAUUAGACACCGCCGACAGAGUGGAUGAUUUGCGAUUAAUAAGUUGGCUAGGAUCAAAAGUAAUGUGAUCCGUAGCACCCGAGUCAAUAAUCUAUGCGGAUUUAUGAGAUGGCGUAUGAAAAGUAGAACCUUUGGUGGUGGCGAUAGAAGCAUGAGUCCGAGUAGCCGAGUCAGCAGGAUUGACCGCAUGCUUUUUUGAGUCUGCAAUAAGGGGCAGAAUUGUAGGAGUUCUUGACAUUGCAGCGGAAGUAAGAUGUGAUAUGAGAAUGUGAGGAAUUGUGAUUGGAGGAAUUUGAUGUAUGAAUUUGAUUAGGGUUUUGGAUUUGAAUAUGAGAAGUUCGAGAUAAGGGUUUAGAGACAACUUAGGAUAGAUUGCUCUGAUACCUUGCUAAAAUACGAAUAUGGUUUGAAUACUUUGGGUUGAGUUUUAUUCUUCCCCAUAAAGAGGUAUAUAUAGGAGUUUACAUAAGAGUUUUACAGGGAAUUAGAUACAGUAAAGAAUUAGGAAAGUAUCUCCUAAUUGUACAAUGAUUUGUCACUUAUAUAAAAAUAGGAAAGUAAAUCCUUUAAUUAAUCAAGGAAGUAAAUUUCCUUGAUUAAUUAGGAGACUCACAUCAACACUUGUUUGUAUAAAAUGCUUUUUUGUCCAGCUUCUUUGAGCAAUUGGAAUAUAAGUUCUAUGCUCCCGUUGCACGUCUCCGCUUUCUUCCUAUCUAUUUCCUCAUGUGAGUCACAUAAGGAGAGAGAUAGGAAGAAGCAAAGGGGAGAUGUGAGGUGAAAAUUAUUUGUAGGAUUUUCUUAGACACUUUUUUUUAUGAAAUACAAUCAGUUUGACAAUCACAAUUAUUUUGCUGACAUUGGAAAUGAAUAUUUUGUGUCAUUUCAAUUUUUGCUCACUUGAAAAUUAAAAUUAAGUUAUAUAUAAAGAUGAGUUGAAAAGAUGUAUUAUGUCUAUAUUUGACACGGUUCAUUAGUUUUCUAAAUCUACAUUAUGAUAUUAUUUUCUAUAUUGAGUGAAAAUAAUGGAGGAAAUUAAAUUGAUGAAUUUUGAGAAGUUUUGCUUUCUUCCAUUGUUGGUUUUGAAUAUUUUGUGGCCAUAUAAUUUCGAUAAUUUCUUUAUAGCAUCUGUGGCAUUUCUCUUCUUACGGAGGGGAGUUCGUGUUGUGACUUUUAUUACAGUCAUUUUGAGGGGCCUGACAAUUCUUGUAUGCCAUAUCCUAAGGACCAGACAAUUCCUAGGGAUCAUACUUCCUAAGGAGGAUUCUGAUAAUGAUAAGGCUGCCAUAGGUGAGGACUAGAAGGAAGCUUCAGAGAGGAAAAUGAAGAAAUCAACGCUAGUUUAUCAGAUCUUUACUUCCUGGCCUACAAAAUAAGAACACACAAACACAAAUAUUUAUCAAUUUUGGUUGAUGCAGAACUUGUAAAAAGUCUAAAAAAUUAUUUGAUAUAAUUUAAAAUAAUUUAGAGAUUGAGAGGAUUUUAGGGUUAAGGCUUCACUUAGGGAUGAGAUUGCAAAUAGUGAGAUUAAAAUUACUGGUUAUAUAGGCGUGUCCAGAUAGUGGGGAUUAGUAGUGUUCAUGUUGGCCCGAUAAAAGUGGUGGUCAUGCGCGAACUACCAAUAUGUACCCAUGCCUCAUUUGGGUUCCAAAAAAGAGAAUGUGAGAAGAAUGAAAUGGGUCUCUGGGUCUUAGAGAAGAGAAGGUGAGAAGAACGUUGACCUUAAUCUCAUUCCAAAUAACCUUGAAAACCCAUUGGUUGAAACUGAUGGGUUGGAUAUGAUUUUAGAUCCUUAAUCGAAACAUUGUUUUGUGAUUUGUGUUAGAUAUUGUUUUUUCUUGUUGGUGUAACAACAAUCAGUUAUACAAUUAUUUAAUUCUAAUAGUUAAAUAAGCACAACAAUAGUAAAAUAAAUAAAUAAAUAAAACGAAAUUCAAUAAAACAAUAAAGAAACCAUGACUGCUUUUGUAACGUAAAGAGCUUCUAUUACACUUUCACUUUUUCUUUCGUUUUUGUAGAAAUGUUAGUUGAACUUAUACCUCAGUUUCAAUUUGUCACUUUGAAGAAAAAUUUAAGAGAAAUGAUACCAUAAUUUUUUAAAAUCCAUGAUUUGUCAUCUGACUUUCAUACCAUCCAAUUUUCCAUAUAUUUUAAGGGUAUUUUAGCCGUUUCAGUUUCAAUGGUAUUUUAAAAAUGGAAAAAUCAUUAUAAUAAAAAUCGUAUAUGUUUUAAACAAUUAAAAUUGAAGAGAAAAUCUCACCUUACCCCUUGUACACCACCGGUGGCUCCAACCAACUCUGCCUACCUUGAAAUCCAUUUCCCCUUCCCUCUUCACAGCCCCUUCCUCCAUUCCCCCUUCUCUCUUUCCCUUCAUCCUUCUGUCUCUACCAUGGAACACAUACCCUCCACACACAAAUUCUCUCAGCCCACCCAAACUAAGUCCACCUUCUUCUUCGUUUUUCUUUUUUAAAAUUGUAGACAUGCUCAAUGAACACCAUAAAAAAAAUUUAUGCAUGCUGAGAGAGAGAGAGAGAGAGGGGGGUCCUGUGCGAUGUGUUUUUGGGGCGGGUGUGGUUGGGUUGGUGGAGAAAGCGAGAAAAAAGGUUUUUUUUUCUUCUUUUUUUUUUUUUGAAAUGGAAAGACUAAAAUACCCUUAAAUGAAUGAAAAAUUGAAUGGUGUUAAAGUGACAAAUUGGAUGGAUUUUGAAAAAUUAAGAUGAUACUUAUCUUAAACUUUUCUUUAAAGUGACAAAUUAAAACUGAGAUAAGUUCAAACGACAUUUCUACAAAAAUUCUUUUUCUUUUUCUAAACUUUUGCUCAGAACUUUAGUGAAAAAGAAAAUCCACCACCCAUACAACGACACUUGACCGACAAAAUCCAAAGACAUAUCAAAAGACCACAGAAAACAUGACGCUCAUCUACCAACACCGUACAUCAGCAACAGUGGGCAUUCAUAAUUCAGUGCAUAUAUCAUACCAACUUCACGUAUUAUUUGUAGUACUUCACUAAUUCCUUCCCUAUUUUCCACAUGGUACCAAAAAUGAGCAUGAUUUAGUGAAAUAUUCAUCUAGGUCUUCAAAUGUUUUCCGCAUUCUCUGUUUGGGUAAGGUAAUCUAUAAUUUCUCGUAAGGAAAAAUGCUAAAGUGAUUACAUUGCUUGAUAAUUAAUAAUGAUGUUUACUCGUUGCAUUAAUUAUUAUGAUAAAUUAUUCAAUGACAAGUUUAUUCAGAUAGUUAAUGUGGUUUUAAAAAAGAAGUAAUGAUUUAGUGUUAUUUAUGGCCAUCGAAAAAAGGGGGGGGGGGGGUGUUAUUUAUGCCUUAAAAAAAAUGUUCAAUUCAAUUCAAUCAUACACCAUUCUUCUGAUUCUACUGUUUCUCUGCUGCAAAUUGCAAUGAGGCUAUUAUUUUUGCGGGGUCCCUCGGCCAUAUGAUGCCCUCUAGAUCAUGAAAACAUUAUAUAAUGGUCUUUUACAUUUGAAAUUCCAUCUAAAACAUAUGCUCAUGCUAUACUAUAAUGGUCCAAUUCCAAUCCCAAGACCUCCCACAACUCCUGAUUAUUCAACCUCCAUUAUGCUUGGCAAUUGCUGAAUCUCAGUUGUCUCAAAAAUUCCAUCUCCUCAAAGCAUGGGAGUCAGAACUCCCUCUAGACCAGUUCUUGACCACCUAUGCAUGCUCAGUCCAAGCCAUGCUUUGCUACCCUUUCACUCAGGUCAAUGCAGACCUCCUCCGGCUACUUCCGGCACUCAAACUUGUUGUCAGCCCCACUGCUGGGGUCAACAACAUCGAUGUGGUCGAGUGCCGGCGGCGUGGAAUAUCAGUGACCACUUCUGGGAGUGCAUUCUCAGAAGAUGUUGCUGAUACUGCCGUAGGUUUGCUCAUUGAUGUGCAUAGAAGAAUCUCAGCAGCAGAUCGGUAUGUGAAAGGGCUUUGGACUAGCAAAGGAGAUUAUCCUCUUGGUUCCAAGGUAAUGCUAGCUAGAGAGAUCUCAUUUACUAAGUUUCUAAACCACAUAUGUACAUUAGUUGAUGGCAGUUGAUUUGUUAAUUAACAAUUAACGAUAAUAAUUGAUGUAAUAAGUACGCAUCCAUAACUCACAAAAACUGAUUAGUUCUUUAGCAUUGGGAAUUGAAGAUUUUCUUUAUUUCUUGUUGUAGUACACAUACACCCUAGUUGAUCCUCUGAUAUUAAAUGAUUGAUCGACUCUCUAUAUAUUUUAUUAUUAUUUAUGUAAUAUUAAUUGUCAACUGGUAAUUAAUUUCAGUUAGGAGGCAAGCGAGUUGGGAUUGUUGGAUUAGGAAGCAUUGGCUCUGAAAUUGCAAAAAGACUGGAGGCCUUUGGGUGCAUUGUCUCAUACAACUCAAGGAGCAAAAAUCCAUCUUUAACAUACCCCUUCUAUUCCAGUGUUCAUGAACUUGCAGCCAAUACUGAUGCCCUCAUCAUCUGUUGUGCAUUGACAGACCAAACCCGCCACAUGAUCAACAAGGAAGUCUUAUCUGCACUGGGAAGAGAGGGAGUGAUUGUCAACGUUGGACGGGGGGCUAUUAUUGAUGAGAAGGAAUUGGUGAGGUUUCUGGUGCAUGGAGAGAUUGGAGGCGCUGGUUUGGAUGUGUUUGAGAAUGAGCCUCAUGUUCCUGAAGAACUCUUUGCUUUGGACAACGUUGUUCUGUCUCCACAUAACGCUGCUUUUACUCCCGAAUCUGUAGAGAGUUCGAGUCAAAUAGUUAUUGCCAAUUUGGAAGCUUUCUUCUCAAAUGAGCCUUUGGUUACUCCAUUCAUGGAUGACUAAAUUUGAUUUUAUGUGUUGUUUCCUUUAUUUAUUUUCAGACAUUUGUUUUUGGCUGAACUCUGUUCUUGUGGAAGUAAUUCCUUGGCUUGCAAGAAGCUAUGAAUUACAAUGACUCUGAUUAUCUCAUUUGACUGGCAGUUUUCAUUGCUCUUAUUUCCAACAUUUUUCUUAAGCUUGUAAUAUCUCUUUGUCAAAUUCCUUUUGAUCAAGCCUUAAUUACAAAAGUCAGCCAAGAUAACACAUGAAAUGAAUACCACAGAAAAAAGAUAAUUGAAAUCCUCUUUUGUUUAAAGUAAAUUAAAGUGGUUUUUAUGAUUGGAAAUGCCAGAUAGGAGGCAAACGAGUUGGGAUUGUCGGAUUGGGAAACAUUGGCUUAGAAGUUGCCAAAAGACUUGAGGCCUUUGGCUGCAACAUAUUGUACAACUCAAGGACAGAAAAGCCAUUCGUUUCAUACCCUUUCUAUUCUGAUAUCUGUGAACUAGCUGCUAACAGUGACGCCCUUGUCAUUUGUUGUGCAUUGACUGCGCUGGGAAGAGAUGGCUGUAAACAUAGGACGCGGAGCUAUCAUCGAUGAGAAGGAAAUGGUGCGGUGUUUGGUGAAAGGAGAGAUUGGAGGUGCUGGUUUGGAUGUGUUUGAGGACGAGCCUGAAGUUCCUGAAGAGCUCUUUGCAUUGGACAAUGUUGUACUGUCACCACAUUAUGCUACCUACACACCAGAAUGUUUCAUGGCUUUGUGUGAACUAGUAGCAGGGAAUUUCGAAGCAUUCUUCUCAAAUAAACCGUUGCUUUCACCGGCUGUGGAUAAUUCAAUAGAUUUCUAUUUGCACGUUAGUGUCUCCAUGACUUUUUGCAUCAUCUUGCAUGCCAUUUUGGUUUGUUUCCCUUGGGAAUCGUUCAUACAGAAACCACUUGCAAUGGAGCUUUGAGUUUCACAGUAUAAAUCCACAUGCAUCCUACUGUCUUAUUUUCAUGAGGUAAGGGCAUGAGUUCUCAUGUGACAUUCUUUUGGAGAGCUCGCAUUUCUUCAUUCAUAGCUUCUUUUCAUUUUGGGUUUCCUAGUGCUUCAGUUACACUGUUGGGGACAAAUAUGUCAGCCAACUACUUCACAGAGUGCACAUGUGACUCUGAUAAUGCUUAGAGAUAUAUAAUUAUUGAUGGGGUAUUUCCCUUUGACUUUAAGAUCUGCUUCAUAUUGUACUCGAGGUUUCCCACGGUUCUUCCUUUCUGGAAUUUGAUAUGUAGGCUUUGUGCCUUCUGAAAUCAAAUCAUCAUGGAAUAUUUCAUUAGUGUUAUCAGUUUCAGGAAAAGAUGUUACCUAAAUGACAUCUUCAGUAGGUGAUUGGUGCAGUACUAGAGCUAAAGCGUGCAAAAUCUCAUAAAACGGUUCAAUUUCUUCCUCCUGAUUUUGACAGCGUGGAGACAACUGAUCGUUUUCCUCUGACGACCGGUCACUGUCUACUGGCGAUUGAUCGUUUUGAAGUAGGUUCCCUGUAGUUGAAAAUUUUAAGGGUCUAAACUAUUUUAUUUAGCCAAUGUCCCCCUACCGGCAAAUUUCCUAAUAUUUCAUCCACUUCUCCGUCAAGUUUGAGGGCAAAUUGUUCAUUCCGUAACCCCCUUCCUCCUCCUAAGUUUCAGGCAGCCGCCACCUAACCCCAACCCAUGAAGCCACCACUCCGACCCACACAUCCACCCUGACCCACGCAACCACCACCCCAGAAGCCAUCUCCAACCAGCAACCAACAAAUUCAGGGGCAAAUUGAAAACUGGGUACAAAUUCAGCCAUUCUCUAUACUGAGUUGCCUGUAUGUAUGGCUGAAUUGAUAUGAAAAAUCUCGUAUAUACAUACGAAACAUCUGGAUGUCGUUUUGUCAAAGGAAGCAGGUAAAGCAUCUACCAGUUGACAGUUGUGGGUCCAUACUCCAUAGAUAAUCAAAAUUGUUUCUCAAUUUCUCAAUUUCUCAAUUGCCACUUCUGAAAUCUAUCUCCACCUCAACAAUUCUCAAGUCUCAAGAACAAGAAGCCAAUCCAAUGGCACUUAAUGGAAAUCACAGUGAACUCCCACAAGUUCUGGUACUUCUCCCACCUGGGUGCUUCACUCUCUUGGAGUCCAACUACUCCCACAAGUUCAAGUUCCUCA